rnacentral:tRNA from 2 species
GUCCCUGUCGAUUAGUGGUUAGAUCAUCACGUUGUGGUUCACACAGUACCGUGAAGACGCAGGCUCGACUCCUGCCCGGGACA